UACGUAGGGACCGAGCGUUGUCCGGAUUCAUUGGGCGUAAAGAGCUCGUAGGCGGCUGCUCAAGUCGAAUGUGAAAACUCGAGGCUCAACCUCGAGCCUGCAUUCGAUACUGGGCGGCUAGAGUCUGGUAGGGGGAUCUGGAAUUCCUGGUGUAGCGGUGGAAUGCGCAGAUAUCUGGAGGAAUACCGGUGGCGAAGGCGGCAUCCUGGACCGGCAUUGACGCUGAGGAGCGAAAGCCAGGGGAGCAAACGGG
rnacentral:rRNA from 1 species